rnacentral:lncRNA from 1 species
UUUUGCACCAUGUAAUACCAAAUCAGAUCAGAAUUCAUGCACAAUUAUACCAGUGGAAAUCUAAUAGUACAGGCUGGCUUAUCUCUAGAUAACACAUGGAAAAAUAAACUUCCACAACUGACAGAUUUACUUGAUUUUUUUUUCAGAUAAUUUAUUUGUAAGUAAUCGAGCUAAAGACUGUAACUGGAUUAUUUUUCAUACUAUU